AUACGUAGGGAGCGAGCGUUGUCCGGAAUUACUGGGCGUAAAGGGAGCGUAGGCGGGAUGGCAAGUCAGAUGUGAAAACUAUGGGCUCAACCCAUAGACUGCAUUUGAAACUGUUGUUCUUGAGUGAAGUAGAGGUAAGCGGAAUUCCUGGUGUAGCGGUGAAAUGCGUAGAUAUCAGGAGGAACAUCGGUGGCGAAGGCGGCUUACUGGGCUUUUACUGACGCUGAGGCUCGAAAGCGUGGGGAGCAAACAGGAUUAGAUACCCUGGUAGUCCACGCUGUAAACGAUGAUUACUAGGUGUGGGGGGACUGACCCCUUCCGUGCCGCAGUUAACACAAUAAGUAAUCCACCUGGGGAGUACGGCCGCAAGGUUGAAACUCAAAUGAAUUGACGGGG
rnacentral:rRNA from 1 species